rnacentral:misc_RNA from 1 species
UUUCAGACUAAAAAUGUCGGCUAAGACGCUAGGGAGAAGCCUACUCCCACGUCUUGUUCUCAACCCAUGCUCUAAACCAUCGUGCUCUAGGUUUCAUGUUAUUCCUGGGUCUGUAACAACCCGAUCUACUUGCAGAUACAUCUUCACCAUUCAGCAUAGGUUGGCUGGCGGUAGGUUAGAGGUCAAACUACCUGCACUUCUACCUGCCAGGAGUUUCAGUUUAAGCUCGCCUGUAGCUGAGAUUGCUCAGUUUAAUCUCUCAGAUAUAGGAGAAGGGAUUAAGGAAGUAACGAUUAAGGAAUGGUUUGUGAAGCCUGGAGACAAAGUGUCCCAGUUUGACAAUAUCUGUGAGGUGCAAUCUGAUAAAGCCAGCGUCACCAUUACAUCUAAGUUUGACGGUGUAAUUACAAAACUGUACUAUGAUGUUGAUGAUAUUGCACAGACUGGAGAUCCUUUAGUAGACGUUGAGGUUGCAGGUAGCUCUGAGGUCCCUGUACCUGCUAGUGUUACUCUGGAAUCAGAUGAUGAGGAUAUUGAUGAUUCUAACUUACGAAGGGUCAAGGUGCUGGCUACCCCAGCAGUCAGGCGUAUUGCAUCUGAGAACAAUGUUGCGCUGUCUGACGUAGUGGGAACAGGACGGGAGGGUAGAGUUCUGAAAGAAGAUAUUCUCAACUUUUUAGAUAAUAAAUCCGCCGUUUCCGCCCCUCCGCCUGCCGCUGCCCGGGCUCCACCAGUCAGUCAGAAACCGAAACCAGUUUCGGCGGCGGUGGCGAGGCCAAGAGUCCAAAAAGCGGCCGUUGCAGAAGGCAAGGACAGGGUGGAGCCCCUGAGUGGUAUGGUUAAGGCAAUGACUAAGAAGAUGACUGAGUCCUUGAUGAUCCCACAUUUCGGAUAUUAUGAUGAAAUCAAUAUGUCUAGUCUAGUCACCGUCAGAAAGGAGCUGAAGAGUAUCAGUGAGGCAAGAGGUGUAAAAUUGUCCUACAUGCCUUUCAUUGUCAAGGCCGCUUCUCUAGCUCUUCUUCAGUUCCCAGUUCUCAAUAGUUCUCUAGAUCUUAAGUCAGAGACUGUGACCUAUAAACACAGUCAUAAUAUUGGAGUUGCGAUGGAUACAGCACAGGGUCUACUGGUGCCUAACAUUAAGGGGGUUCAAAAUCUAUCUAUAUUUGAGAUUUCUGAGGAAUUAUCCCGACUGCAGGAGAUAGGAUUGGCCGGUAAACUAACAAAUAAGGAUCUGACAGGAGGCACGUUUUCUCUCUCCAACAUAGGAUCUAUUGGAGGAACCUACGCUAGCCCGGUCAUUAUGGCACCUGAGGUUGCUAUUGGUGCACUUGGAAAACUCAGAGUUCUACCCAGAUUUAACAGUGCUGGUGAGGUGUAUCCUGCACAUAUUAUGAAUGUCAGUUGGUCCGCUGAUCAUAGGCUGCUAGAUGGUGCUACUGUAGCCAGGUUUUCCAACCUAUGGAAGAGUUAUCUAGAAUCUCCAGCAACUCUUCUCCUUGACCUUAAAUAGGUGAUUCUGAUCAAUGCAUUUCUUUGUGCAAGGUGAUAGGUAACGGCAUUCUAGUCUUUUACACUGUACAUGCAUUGUACACACACUGUAUACUGUACGCCAUUUGCUGUUAACAGUGUAGUGUGUACUUAUCAAUACAAGUGUUCACUGUAUACACUUACUCAUAGUUGUGUACAGUUUUAACUAGUUGUUUUGUAAUGUACAGUACAUAGUUUGUUGUACCUUGUCAACUCAAAAUAUUUUAAACUGUGUACUUCAGACAAUGCCUGAAUGUACAGUGAGACCCAUGAAACUGUGGAACGACUUUCUAUGGGCUCUACUGUAUAUAUUGUGCACGGUGUAGAACUAUGUGAACUAUGUACGAAAUGUGCCAUAUUUAUUAAAAGUUUACUAUAGAUAGUAGGGUAACCUAAUGGUAAA